rnacentral:rRNA from 1 species
AGGGUUUGAUUCUGGCUCAGGACGAACGCUGGCGGCGUGCCUAACACAUGCAAGUCGAGCGAGUGGAGUUCUUCGGAACAAAGCUAGCGGCGGACGGGUGAGUAACACGUGGGCAACCUGCCUCAUAGAGGGGAAUAGCCUCCCGAAAGGGAGAUUAAUACCGCAUAAGAUUGUAGCUUCGCAUGAAGUAGCAAUUAAAGGAGCAAUCCGCUAUGAGAUGGGCCCGCGGCGCAUUAGCUAGUUGGUGAGGUAACGGCUCACCAAGGCGACGAUGCGUAGCCGACCUGAGAGGGUGAUCGGCCACAUUGGGACUGAGACACGGCCCAG